CGGCUCUCCUUGAAUCCUAAUCUCUAAAGUUAAGAGUAUGUACCGAUUCGAUCCACUUUUUCAAUCAGAAUUGAACAAUGAACUAGGGGCAAAAGUACAAUAUUUAGGGUGCUCAAUGAGUUUGUUGACCUGUAAAAAUAACACAGUAAACCUUUUAGGACUAGACACUUGGAACACGAACAGGUUUAAAAUAUAGAAACAUAAACAAUUAACUUUUUCAGAGUUUUACAGCAAUAGGAGGCUUUGGCUGGUAAAUCAAUCCCCGCAGCCUCCCAUGUAUAUAAUUUUAUAUGAAACUAUACUUCUAUUUACAUUCCAAACACAAUAAAAUUUUCAAACAAAUUUUCAAUUCCUCACCUAAAAUUCCUUAAUCUCAAACAUACUAAAUUAGAUUUUCUUUUCAUUCUAUUCUACCAGUAGUACCACAAGAUGGCACACACACAAACUCAAAAAAAAUGCAAAAAAAGAAAGAAAGCAUACACGAACCAUCCAACUCCCACAAGCGCAGUUGAAAAAAUAUAUUCAUCAAACAAACUGAAACUGAUGUAACAUGCAACAUGAACAAAGUCUGGCACCUGAAUACCACAACAUCCACACUCCUAUACGAAACAUAAAGAACCAAGAGCUUACAUAGAUUACGAUUUUCAAACAUUCUGAAAUACAAUUUCCUAUUCGCUCAAAUUGACACCUACAAAGGUAGCUCCCUAUCCGAAAUUGUGGAAAUCUUUGCAAGACAUUAGCAUCAUUUUGAUAGCCACAACAUUACCUCGGAUAAAAUUUGAAUCAAAAGAACUUCCCAAUGAUAAGCGAAUGAUACAAGUUAUCCUGAGAAACUAUUUGCAGUUCUUUUAAGCAGCCAUAACCUAGAAAAAGNNNNNNNN
rnacentral:lncRNA from 1 species